AUGACCCCAGGUCAGUC
rnacentral:rRNA from 1 species